rnacentral:rRNA from 1 species
UGAGGAAUAUUGGUCAAUGGGCGCGAGCCUGAACCAGCCAAGUCGCGUGAGGGAUGACGGCCCUACGGGUUGUAAACCUCUUUUGUUCGGGGAGCAAAUUCCGUUACGUGUAACGGAGUCGAGAGUACCCGAAGAAAAAGCAUCGGCUAACUCCGUGCC